rnacentral:lncRNA from 1 species
AUAUAUAUAUAUAUAUAUAUAUAUAUAUAUAUAUUUUAAAGUAAUAAAUCAUUUAUAUAAAUGAAAUCUAGAAUGACGAGAUUACAAUGACCACAAAGAUCACAAUAGUGUCAUUACAUUAGACAUUUUGCUCACUUAUUGUGAGCUUAGUAGAGGGUAAAACUAGUCACAAACAAUAUACUAGAGAAACAUAAAAUCAGAACCAAGGCGCUCAAUUACAGUACUUCAAUCCCUAUGCAUUCAUCUUGUUGCAGCCAGCUCACACAGUCUGCCAAGCUAUCAAUGCCGCGACUUAAGCCAUAGUCAGGUUGAAAUCAAGCCUAACAACCCAAUUCCAAAACUGGCUUUUAGUGGGCUUGAGGCUAGACCCAGGCCCAAGAAACCGAGUCCUUCUCCAAACCCUAGCAUAUUGCAUCUUCGCUUGCCAACACCCGCCGCGACGAAUCCCACCGUCAACGUCAAAAUAGGCGCGUUCGCUAUGGCCUCCAUCUCCUACGGCUAUGACCUAACAACUUUUGGUGGAGCCACGUCCACCAUCUUUGACCCACUCAUCGGAAUCAUCACCUUGCCGACCUCAUUUGGGAGUUCAUCCUAACCUUCAAACAACAACCUGUCUUUGGUAUAACUCGCAAGCAGCUGCAUAGUCAUGGCCUUCUUCGUGGAGACGAAAUCAGCAACAACAAGAAGACAUUCAUGACUUCUCCAAUCACCAAUUCGAGAAGAUGGGCAUGGGUGAGCAAUUGUGGCCCAAACAUGGCCUUGGAGACAACAGAGGAUGGAGAACAAGUCCCCACUUAGGACUGGGACCAGAGAUGGUUGCCGGAUUAGAGAACUCAAGCCCUGGCGGCUAGGUUUUAGCUAGAGACACUAUUAGGACAAGCACUUUAGCCGACGAAAAAGUUUCGUCGGCCUGUCAGCUAAAUUCGUCGGCUAAAAUCUUAGCCGACGAGCCUUCGUCGGCUAUGGUUUCGUCGGGAAAGGGUCAUCGACGAUGACUUUAGCCGACGACCUUAGAAGACGUCGUCGGCUAUUAUCUAGGACAAUAGCCGACGAAUAUCUUAAAUGUUUCGUCGACCAUAGUCUGAGACUUUAGCCGACGACCAUAUUCGUCGGCUAAAGUAUGUAAUAAAAAAUUAAAAAAAUAACUAUAGCCGACGAAAUAUAGUCUAUUUCAUCGGCUAAACCUUAUAAAAAAAAUUUUAAAACGUCAUAAUUCGUCGGCUAAACCUAAUAAAAAAAUUAAAAAUACUAUAGCCAACGAAUAUCUUCAGCUAAAGUAUUUAAAUAUCGUCGGCUAAAGUUGCUGGUUUUUGAAAAAAAAAAACUACAGAAACUUUCGGCCACCUCCAAUCACCACCAAAAUUUGACAGAAUUUUCCUCUCAACAUUUCGAAAAACUUUCUAAAAGAAGUCGAAGCCUAAUUCUAAGUCUAAACAGGUCAAUUGAAUCAAAAUAUAAAAAAUUCCAAAAUUUUAAAACUUCAAAUCUUCGAUUCUCCUCA